ensembl:lncRNA
UAUGGAUAUUUUUCUUAUAAAAACGCAUUGAUUCGCUACAGGAGGCCUUUGUUCACCCCCAUCAUCCCCCCUAACCCCCCCCAGAGCAGUGUGAGACACUUUUUAUUAAAGAUGGGCGCUUUUUAUUUUACUUCUUUUGGACUGAUGCACUGCAACACCCACUGAGUGCCAUUAAAUAGCUUGAAAGAUCAAAGACAAUUUUUAAUACAUCUCUGACUGGAUUUGUCUGAAAGAAGAAGGUGAGCAUGAUUUCACCAAGAACAACAUCCUUGUUGAUCCUGGAACAACAUUCCUAUAAUUCAAUCAGAACUGAGAUAUAACUUUUCAGGAAUAUCUGUUUUAGGCUUACAAUCAAGGUUAGGUGAUUCUACACACUUGUUAAUCAGCUAUCAUUUCUCUCUGAUUUUAGUAAUAAACUAUGGGUAGGGUUAGGUUUAGGGGUAGGGACUGGGUUAAGUCUAUAUUUUUGGACAAUAAUGUUGAUCCAGGAACAUGUCUUACUUGGCAAAAUCACGGUGACCGAAAGAAGAAAGUUAUAUACACCUAGGACGACUUGAGGGUGAGUAAUUUAUGGGCAAAUUAACAUUUUUGGGUGAACUAACCCAUUAACUGCUCUGGUGGUUCUAACUAAACUCAAAUUAAUAUAUUUGUUAGCUGCUGUGAACCCACUUCAAAUGGGCAGCAGUGUGCCUUUCUAAUGUGAACAGAUCAUUUGUCUUUAAGGGUGUAAAUGAUAUUCUGUUGGUAUAAUUUCCUUGGGUGACGAGUCCCGCUGUGAACCGGUGUCCAGUGGGCAAGACAUCUGGAGCAGAUGGUGUUUUGGAGUCCCCCCAACUACUUUCAAGGAAGAAACCGUCCCAACCCUGUGCCAGGGCAAGAGAAAGGCAGACCCCAUCUACGCUUGAAAGGAGGUCAGCGGGGUCACCGUGGAGGGAGUUCAGCUGUCACGGAAUUGAACGCACAGGAUAUCAGGCAGUGAAGGAUACAUCUGUGCUGCCUUCUAAUAUCAAUCAAAUCCCGGCAUCUCAGGAGCCAGGAAGUGAAGGUAACAUUGGAUUCUGACGUGCUUUAGGCAUAAAAAAAAUAUUUUGUAGUUAGCAUUUUGCUAAGCUAAUGUCAAGAUACUUUAAUAAACAUAAACACAUAGCAAACA